rnacentral:misc_RNA from 1 species
UUUUUUGGAACGUCCAAUAUUCAUUCCACAUUGAACCAAACAAAGAAUGCACCAUAAGCUCUAUAAAUGCAGCUUGAUUUUACAAUUUUUGACCCAAAAAAUGAAAAGAGAAUGGUCCAAAAUUUUAGGAACUACCAAAUGAUAACAUAACAAUACGAUAAAGUUGGGUCAUUUUGAUGACACGUUGAAUGAUGCAGCAAUAAGGUGGCAUAACGAUACGUCAAAGUAAAUGACAUAAUGAUCUACUAUUAGGCUAUUAGGCUAUGUGGCAACGACAUAGUUGACAGGAAGAAAGAGAUAAGGCCUCAUAUGUAAUCCUGUGAUUAGUUAGUGAAAGAUUGUGUUAGGACAAUGUUUUGAUAAGGUUGACAGGUGACAAGUGACCGUUGACUUGUUUGGGAUUGUAGAAGAUUAGGAUAAAAUGACAUAUGUUGGAUUUUGAUCAAGUACACGGCGUAGGCAGAUUUAUGUGCAGUUAGACGUGGUGAAAUUUGAUGGAAUCUUCAUAGGGAAAUUUUGAAAAUGGAUCUUUAGGAGGAAGAUGGUUGAAUUGAUGCACGGAAGAAUGUACCGCCUCUAAUCGCUGUUAAAUUGGUGGCAAAUGAUGGCUCACAAGGUUGGAGAAGUGAUUUUUGGUGUUUUCAAGCUGUUUAGGGGGAUUUAAGGCAAUAAAUGAUCACAACUAAAGUCAUUACAAGUUCUCUAAUUUUUUAGAGAUAUUGGAUGCAUGCGGAGGUGCAUGUUCACCGCGUCAACAAGGAAAGCAACAGAUUGCCACAAAUUUGUUGGUGGAGUCAUUUUUUAUGACUAAUGGGCAAUUUUGAGGAUAUUUUGAAGCAGACACCAUAGUAAGGUUCUUUUGUGAUGGUUUUGUGUUUAACAUGAGUUCUUGAGAUUUUUCUUUUUUUUUUCUUAAGGUGAUGAAGAUGAGAAGAUGAAUGUUGAUGAAGCUGGUUUUUCCAAACAGAAUAAAGGGAAGAGCACAGCUUUUGCACAGUUUACCACAAACAACACCAAAUAAUGAAGCAAAAAUUUAAUCUCACAUUAAAGAGGUUACACAAUUACGUCUCAACUAAAAGGACCUGCAAACAAGAAAGAAUGUUCAAAAGGUCCCCGAGAGAUCUUCCAAAGGAGACACUCCCACAAUCAAGUUAGUGGGCUUCUUAAAAUGAAAAAGGAAAAAUAGAAAUUAUCCCUUGGGAAUGUGAGCAAAUACUUUGCUUAUUAGAGUUCCUCGGUCCAAGAACUUAUCUAUGAGAUGGUAAGUGUCCUUUUGUUGCAGUAUGAUUAUUGAUUGUCAGUGGGACAAGCGUACCUGACUUGAUCACUUUCAAUGGAUGUGUCAAAAAAAAAAAUGACUACCAGUGUACUUGGUUACUCUAUCAAAUAUAGAAUGUGCACUCCUUUUGUUCAGGUUAGGUUGUGUUGAAUUAACCUGGCAUCUAUCAGCACCAUCUCGUCUAACAUGACUUCCUUAACUAUUCGAAAGGCGUGUAUUUGAUUUGUCAACCUUCACAUAUCCUUAUUAUUUAUCUAAUUUUAUAAUUCAUCAGUAAUAGGAAAAGAUAUAUCCCCAUGGACCUUGGGAUCAUUGUAGCUCUUGCAAUUUUCUGCUCAAUGAAGUCCAGGACCCCAGUUUUAUCUUCUGAUGCACUAAUAAAUGUACCUGAGCUUGUUCUGGUCCCCUGAGUACUCUCAUCUGUUUCUCCUUUCCGCAGAGCCAGGGAAGAUGGUUUUAGGCGAGACUUUGCCAUUUCAAUUAUACUGUUGCAUUGCUCUGGAGUUGCAAAGUUUGGAAAAUAAACAGCUCUUGGUUUCCAGCUCAAAACCUGAAAUGGAAUGGAUUCAACAAAAGAUUCUCCAGUCACGCCAUGCGGCAUCAAGUCAAGGUCUCCCUCAGCCACUUGAAGCAUUCUCAACCUCGGUCUAAUAAUAGGCACAUCCUGAGAGAGAAGAGUGGAAGCGUAGAAUCCGGCGAGGAAGAAGAAAAAGCAUAGGAGGAGGACAGCAGGUAACCCUAGCUUUCUCUUGGAGGGCUUCGUUUUGGUUUUCAUCUAUGGUGUGUGAAGAAGAAGAAGAAGUCUGUUUGGUUGUUCAACUAUGCCGGAUCUAAAUGGGAAAGCUGCUUAUUUUGGAUUUUAAUGGAGGAAAUGGCAGAAUGCGUAAAUGGCGGGGGAGAGAUUUUCUUCU